AAACUUUCAACAAUGGAUCUCUUGGCUCUGGCAUCGAUGAAGAACGCAGCGAAAUGCGAUAAGUAAUGUGAAUUGCAGAAUUCAGUGAAUCAUCGAAUCUUUGAACGCACAUUGCGCCCUCUGGUAUUCCGGGGGGCAUGCCUGUUCGAGCGU
rnacentral:rRNA from 1 species